UGUCAUACCCAAAGUAUAAACAAACCUGUGCACAGGAGAGGUGAGUUUCUGGCAGGAUUUCAGGGGAGUUCCCUCAGUGCUGCAGAACCAAGGUGCUCCUCUUAAGGGAUGGAACAAAUUUUAGAUACUUGUGCAAAACAGAAGCAGAAAACGUGCAGAAUGGCGGGAUACAAAUUGAGGUGUUGUCUGCUGGUAGUGGUGCUUUUAACACUGACCUGUUGCUCCAGAUUUCUUUCUUCGUGUUUGGCACAUCAGAGAAUACCUCUGCUCUCGAAUCAUGCCUGCACAAGUGGAAUCAGAUCUCACGUGUCUCCUAUGAAGUGCAAGCAUGAAGUGAGUGAUGGUGGCAAAGUACUGGCACAGUUUGCCCAGGGGUGGUUGAUGCCCCAUACCUGGAAACAUUGAAGGUCAGGUUGGAUUGGGCUCUGAGCCAUCUGAUUGAGUUGAAGAUGUCCCUGGAUAUUGUAGGGUGGUUGAACUAGGUGAACUCCGUGGCUGCGGCGGCGUUUCCUCCCUCCCUCCGUCCCUGCCUGUGUGUUGGGAAGUUCCCGUGAAAUAUUGCUGCUGUGGAAAGUCCUGUUCACAGCGAGGAGACGUGACCUCUCAGCGAGUCAGAUCCAAUUUUACAGGCGGCUCUGAGUCAGGGUGGAGCCCGUGCACUGAACUUUGUAUUUGAGGAGGAAGUGAUGGAGGUGGCCGCCCGUGUUGCUAAGCAGACGAGUUGCCGUAUUUUUUUUUUUUUUUUCAGCUGAUACUUUCGGCGGGGGUGUGACUUCAUUCUUAGAUAUGAUGCCUUCCAUUUAUUAAGGACAAAGGUCAGAAAUUGCCGGUGCUGUGAUAGCUGUGUCUCUCCAUAUAAGAAGAGGAACAUUCUGCUGAGCCGUCAAAGAUGGAAAUGGGAGUCCUUAAUGCUGCUCCUGCACAGUGAAAACAAAACCGACCGUGAAGCUGUCAGUUCAUGUCACGGUCCAAGAGCAAACGUCCUCACCAGCAGGUGAUGGAUGAUGGGGAGUAGGUCAGUUCUGUGGCAUUGCUCCAUUUUUAUAAGAGCUCACUACUAUUUCUGAUUAAAGAAGUGGCCUGGUCUUGUCUCCAGUAGUAAUGAGAACCAGGAGCCUGAGGUGAGCAGUCAGGAACUGGCCUGUUAAAUCAGAAUUUAGAUGGAAAGCAAAGUGAUCCUGCCUCAUACGCCAGCAAAUUAAGUGAAGAGUCUGUUUGGGAGUGACAGCGAAUUGUUUGUCACCUCUGUGCCACUGGUACUGCCUUCCAGCUGUCCAGAUCAUCACAGGGAGUACCCAGGCAGCAUUUUGGAGACACUGAGUGGGACAGUGCAGACAGGCUGGGGACAGCUGCCCACAGCUGUGUGUGCACCCACACCACGCACUGUGAUGGGUCACAGUGUGCUGUGUCAGACAGCGUUUUUACCUAUUACCCCCUAAAAGUCUUUGGUUAUGUCCUUAAGUUAGCCUUGAGAGAACUAUAUGUUGUUAUGUGAGAGAUACAGCUGUAUCUGAACACUUCCAUAUAAAAGGAUAAAUUUUGGGAGUAGUAUUUGCCUCUUGUUGUGGGAUUCCCAGGGAUGAGGCAUCAGGGAAUGCUGAUGUCCCUCAGAGAGCUUUGCCCCUGAGAAGCCUGACAGGUGAGUGGCAUGUGGGCAAGAGCUGCUGGAGCUCUCUGCCCCUCUGCUUUUCAGGUUCAGUUCCUCAGUUAAGGAGUUCCCUGCCACAGAAGUGGCUGUUUGGGCCAGUUCCAGCUUUUGUCACUAUGGCUGGCUUGAGUUCCAAAAAAAAAAA